rnacentral:rRNA from 1 species
CUGGUUGAUCCCGCCAGUAGUCAUAUGCUUGUCUCAAAGACUAAGCCAUGCAUGUCCAAGUAUAAAUUGUGCAUUUUUGUACUGUGAAACUGCGAAUGGCUCAUUAAAUCAGUUAUGGUCUCUUUGAUAGUGUUUGCAACACUUGUGUUGUGCUAUAUGGAUAGCCGUGGCAAUUCUAGAGCUAAUACAUGCGACAAGGCCCUGGUGUUGGGGGGAGGAGUGCACUUGUGUAUUCUUUUCUCUUGUUGGGGCUGCAUUUAUUAGAUACAAGCCGACAAUUUUAAUGUUUGGUGAAUCACAAUAACUUUGCUGACCUUUGAGUUUUUUUUGCUCGAAGGUAAAUCAUUCGAAUUUCUGCCCUAUCAACUUUCGAUGGUAAGGUAUUGGCUUACCAUGGUGAUCACGGGUGACGGGGAACAUUUGGUUCGAUUCCGGAGAGGGAGCCUGAGAGACGGCUACCACUUCCAAGGAAGGCAGAUUUCUGUGAUGCAAUUGGAAUGAGAACAACUUAAUGAACUUAUCGAGAACCAAUUGGAGGGCAAGUCUGGUGCCAGCAGCCGCGGUAAUUCCAGCUCCAAUAGCGUAUACUAAAGUUGUUGCAGUUAAAAAGCUCGUAGUCUGAUUUCGGGGUGCAAUUUUUUUUCCGCGUGGUUUUUUUGAUGUGGCAUUUAGUUUUUGGAUUUCGGUCCUUAAUUAUUUGCUGCGUUUGCUGUGUGGAUGCACCUCUUUUUCCCAUUUAUCCUGUGGAUGCAUUGAUUUGCUUCUGCGUUUGGAUGUUUGGGGCUUUUACUUUGAAAAAAUUAGAGUGUUCAAAGCAGGCGGAUUUUAUUUGCUUGAAUAGAUUAGCAUGGAACAACAGAAGAGGACUUUUGGGCCUGUAUUUUGUUGGCCGGUUGGCGCGUGUGUUAUGUGCGUGUCUUCCGCAGGUCUGAAGUAAUGAUUAAUAGGGAUGGUUGGGGGCAUUGGUAUUUCACAGUCAGAGGUGAAAUUCUUGGAUUUGUGAAAGACGACCGACUGCGAAAGCAUUUGCCAAGGACAUUUUCAUUGAUCAAGAACGAAAGUUGGGGGAUCGAAGACGAUUAGACACCGUCGUAGUCCCAUACCAUAAACGAUGCCGACUAGCGCUCGGUGGGCAGCACUUUUUAGGUGAUUUUGGGUUGGCCUUGUGUCACCUGUCACCGAUAGUGGCGCCAUCGGGAGCUUUUAGGGAAACCAAAGUGUUUGGGCUCCGGGGGUAGUAUGGUCGCAAGAUUGAAACUUAAAGGAAUUGACGGAAGGGCACCACCAGGAGGUGGAAUGUGCGGCUCAAUUUGACUCAACACGGGAAAACUCACCAGGUCCAGACAUGGCAAGGAUUGACAGAUUGACAGCUCUUUCUUGAUUCCAAGGGUGGUGGUGCAAGGCCGUUCUUAGUACGUGGGGUGACUUGUCUGGUCG